UCCUAAAUACUUGUCUUUCUAGGCAUUUCAACAUAUCGACCACUCUUUUAUUGUCGCAACAUGCAUAUACACACGACUAAAUCCCUGAACCUCAUGCAGAAACUAUGUGCUACAACUUGGUAACCAACGGCAUUGUUUUCCUUCAUUUUUAUUUACUCAUCGACAACUUCACAGCAAGUUUAUGAAGAAAUGCAUAUUUCUGUGUACUAUCUCUGCUUGAACCUCCGUCAGAGCUCAGAAGACAGGUUCUAUGCCACUGAGAGGUAUUGUGCCUAUGCAAUGUGCUUAUUAGAAUUCCUUGUCCUGGCAGGUGAUAAACCGUAAGCCUUAUGAUCACAAGGCAACUUUAUGAAGGUCCUGCACAAAAAUCUAACACCAUUGCAAGUUGCACUGUCAAUAAGACAUAGGGACUUCGCUUGGUCAUCCCCUCGAGCGUUCAUCCGAGAUUGUCUAAAUUGAUUCAACGGCAUUGGGGCAAAAACCUACAUAUGCGCCCGUUUUCUCCAAGAUCACUGGGGAACUGGA